rnacentral:rRNA from 1 species
UACGUAGGGUGCAAGCGUUAAUCGGAAUUACUGGGCGUAAAGCGUGCGCAGGCGGUUUGUAAGUCUGACGUGAAAUCCCGGGCUCAACCUGGGAAUUGCGUUGGAGACUGCAAGGCUAGAGUUUGGCAGAGGGGGGUGAGAAUUCCACGUGUAGCAGUGAAAUGCGUAGAUAUGUGGAGGAACACCGAUGGCGAAGGCAGCCCCCUGGGUCAAGACUGACGCUCAUGCACGAAAGCGUGGGGAGCAAACAGGAUUAGACUACC